GACGAACGCUGGCGGCGUGCUUAACACAUGCAAGUCGAACGGAAAGGCCCUGCUUUUGUGGGGUGCUCGAGUGGCGAACGGGUGAGUAACACGUGAGUAACCUGCCCUUGACUUUGGGAUAACUUCAGGAAACUGGGGCUAAUACCGGAUAGUAGCUCCUGCUGCAUGGUGGGGGUUGGAAAGUUUCGGCGGUUGGGGAUGGACUCGCGGCUUAUCAGCUUGUUGGUGGGGUAGUGGCUUACCAAGGCUUUGACGGGUAGCCGGCCUGAGAGGGUGACCGGCCACAUUGGGACUGAGAUACGGCCCAGACUCCUACGGGAGGCAGCAGUGGGGAAUAUCGCACAAUGGGCGGAAGCCUGAUGCAGCAACGCCGCGUGCGGGAUGACGGCCUUGGGGUUGUAAACCGCUUACGCCUGUGACGAAGCGUGAGUGACGGUAAUGGGUAAAGAAGCACCGGCUAACUACGUG
rnacentral:rRNA from 1 species